rnacentral:ncRNA from 2 species
CCCGGACUGGUUCGUAAACUUCCCAGUUAUAAAAAACCAAGAACUU